rnacentral:rRNA from 1 species
CAGUAGCCACGGGAAUACGAGGGGGGCAAGCGUCGUUCGGAAUUAUUGGGCGUAAAGGGCGCGUAGGCGGUUUGACAAGUUUGGUGUGAAAUCUAUGGGCUCAACCCAUAGCCUGCAUCGAAAACUGUCGGGCUUGAGUAUGGGAGAGGUGAGUGGAAUUUCCGGUGUAGCGGUGAAAUGCGUAGAUAUCGGAAGGAACACCUGCGGCGAAAGCGGCUCACUGGACCAUUACUGACGCUGAGGCGCGAAAGCUAGGGGAGCAAACAGGAUUAGAGACCCCCGUAGUCCCUGUCUCUUAUAC